UACGUAGGGGGCUAGCGUUGUCCGGAAUCAUUGGGCGUAAAGAGCGCGUAGGCGGCCCGGUAAGUCCGCUGUAAAAGUCCAGGGCUCAACCCUGGAAAGCCGGUGGAUACUGUCGGGCUAGAGUGCGGAAGAGGCGAGUGGAAUUCCUGGUGUAGCGGUGAAAUGCGCAGAUAUCAGGAGGAACACCAAUUGCGAAGGCAGCUCGCUGGGACGUUACUGACGCUGAGACGCGAAAGCGUGGGGAGCAAACAGG
rnacentral:rRNA from 1 species